UCAUUUGCUAUAAUGAAGGUUUCUGUGUAAUAAAUGGUUCUGUCGGAGAAUGUAGGUGUCCUCCUGGGUUUUAUGGAUCACACUGUGAAGGAACACCUUGUACGAACGUCACGUGUAAAAAUGGUGGAAUUUGUUCUUCAGUCAACGGGAAAUUUAGCUGUUCCUGUCCUGAUGGUACUAGAGGAAAAUACUGUGAACAUACACCUUGCGAUAGACCUGAGGUCCGCUGUCUAAAUGGAGGUUUAUGUCUUUUCUCAUCAAACCUUUCUACAUGUGCGUGUACCUACCAGUACUUCGGAGAAGCCUGUGAGAAAUAUUGUCAAUACGGAGCACAGUACUACAGUUGUACGUUCGAAGAACACGAAGACGGCUGUUUUCUACAAGAUGAUUUAUCUGAUAAUUUCAACUGGAC